GUUUGAUCCUGGCUCAGGAUGAACGCUUUUUGCGUGCUUAACACCUGCAAUUCAAACUAAUCACUUUACUUGUUUUCUUCUGAAUGAAGUUUUUGUGACUGAUUGGCCGACGGGUGAGUAACGCUCGGGUAACCUGCCUCAUACAGGGGGAUAACAGUUGGAAAACGACUGCUAAUACCGCAUAAGCGCACAGGAUUGCAUGAUCCAGUGUGAAAAACUCCGGUGGUAUGAGAUGGACCCGCGUCUGAUUAGCCAGUUGGCGGGGUAACGGCCCACCAAAGCGACGAUCAGUAGCCGACCUGAGAGGGUGACCGGCCACAUUGGGACUGAGACACGGCCCAAACUCCUACGGGAGGCAGCAGUGGGGAAUAUUGCACAAUGGGGGAAACCCUGAUGCAGCGACGCCGCGUGAGCGAAGAAGUAUUUCGGUAUGUAAAGCUCUAUCAGCAGGGAAGAAGAAUGACGGUACCUGACUAAGAAGCACCGGCUAAAUACGUGCCAGCAGCCGCGGUAAUACGUAUGGUGCAAGCGUUAUCCGGAUUUACUGGGUGUAAAGGGAGCGCAGGCGGUACGGCAAGUCUGAUGUGAAAUCCCGGGGCUCAACCCCGGUACUGCAUUGGAAACUGUCGGACUAGAGUGUCGGAGGGGUAAGUGGAAUUCCUAGUGUAGCGGUGAAAUGCGUAGAUAUUAGGAGGAACACCAAUGGCGAAGGCGGCUUACUGGACGAUUACUGACGCUGAGGCUCGAAAGCGUGGGGAGCAAACAGGAUUAGAUACCCUGGUAGUCCACGCCGUAAACGA
rnacentral:rRNA from 1 species